rnacentral:rRNA from 1 species
AUUGAACGCUGGCGGCAUGCUUUACACAUGCAAGUCGAACGGUAACAGGCCGCAAGGUGCUGACGAGUGGCGAACGGGUGAGUAAUGCAUCGGAACGUGCCCAGUCGUGGGGGAUAACGCAGCGAAAGUUGCGCUAAUACCGCAUACGAUCUAUGGAUGAAAGUGGGGGACCGUAAGGCCUCGCGCGAUUGGAGCGGACGAUGUAAGAGUAGGUAGUUGGGGGGGUAAAGGCUGACCAAGCCGACGAUCUGUAUGUGGUCAGAGAGGACGACCAGCCACACUGGGACUGAGACACGGCCCAGACUCCUACGGGAGGCAGCAGUGGGGAAUUUUGGACAAUGGGCGCAAGCCUGAUCCAGCAAUGCCGCGUGCAGGAAGAAGGCCUUCGGGUUGUAAACUGCUUUUGUACGGAACGAAACGGUCCUGGUUAAUACCCGGGGCUAAUGACGGUACCGUAAGAAUAAGCACCGGCUAACUACGUGCCAGCAGCCGCCGUAACAC